ACUUCUCCUGUGACAAGGAGUCCUUUUCUUUGACUACUGCCAUGUCUUUGCCUUUGAAUCUGCCAUCUUUGGAGCAAAUCAAACAACGAGUGAGAGAGCGAAAUAUCUUUGCAAAGGAUGCCCGUCGGAGGUAUCUAGCUCAUGAGAGGGAAAGAGCUAGAUAGGCUGGUGCAUCCUCCUCCCAUGGGGCUCCCCCUCUGCCUCCUACGG
rnacentral:lncRNA from 1 species